rnacentral:rRNA from 1 species
UGUUUCGGCUAGGGGGCCAUCCCGGCUUACCAACCCGAUGCAAACUGCGAAUACCGGAGAAUGUUAUCACGGGAGACACACGGCGGGUGCUAAUGUCCGUCGUGAAGAGGGAAACAACCCAGACCGCCAGCUAAGGUCCCAAAGUCAUGGUUAAGUGGGAAACGAUGUGGGAAGGCCCAGACAGCCAGGAUGUUGGCUUAGAAGCAGCCAUCAUUUAAAGAAAGCGUAAUAGCUCACUGGUCGAGUCGGCCUGCGCGGAAGAUGUAACGGGGCUAAACCAUGCACCGAAGCUGCGGCAGCGACACCGUGUGUUGUUGGGUAGGGGAGCGUUCUGUAAGCCUGUGAAGGUGUGCUGUGAGGCAUGCUGGAGGUAUCAGAAGUGCGAAUGCUGACAUAAGUAACGAUAAAGCGGGUGAAAAGCCCGCUCGCCGGAAGACCAAGGGUUCCUGUCCAACGUUAAUCGGGGCAGGGUGAGUCGACCCCUAAGGCGAGGCCGAAAGGCGUAGUCGAUGGGAAACGGGUUAAUAUUCCCGUACUUGGUGUUACUGCGAAGGGGGGACGGAGAAGGCUAUGUUGGCCGGGCGACGGUUGUCCCGGUUUAAGCGUGUAGGUAUGUGUUCCAGGUAAAUCCGGUUCACUUUAACACUGAGGCGUGACGACGAGGCACUACGGUGCUGAAGCAACAAAUGCCCUGCUUCCAGGAAAAGCCUCUAAGCAUCAGGUAACAUCAAAUCGUACCCCAAACCGACACAGGUGGUCAGGUAGAGAAUACCAAGGCGCUUGAGAGAACUCGGGUGAAGGAACUAGGCAAAAUGGUGCCGUAACUUCGGGAGAAGGCACGCUGACACGUAGGUGAAGUGAUUUACUCACGGAGCUGAAGUCAGCCGAAGAUACCAGCUGGCUGCAACUGUUUAUUAAAAACACAGCACUGUGCAAACACGAAAGUGGACGUAUACGGUGUGACGCCUGCCCGGUGCCGGAAGGUUAAUUGAUGGGGUCAGCGCAAGCGAAGCUCCUGAUCGAAGCCCCGGUAAACGGCGGCCGUAACUAUAACGGUCCUAAGGUAGCGAAAUUCCUUGUCGGGUAAGUUCCGACCUGCACGAAUGGCGUAAUGAUGGCCAGGCUGUCUCCACCCGAGACUCAGUGAAAUUGAACUCGCUGUGAAGAUGCAGUGUACCCGCGGCAAGACGGAAAGACCCCGUGAACCUUUACUAUAGCUUGACACUGAACAUUGAGCCUUGAUGUGUAGGAUAGGUGGGAGGCUUUGAAGUGUGGACGCCAGUCUGCAUGGAGCCGACCUUGAAAUACCACCCUUUAAUGUUUGAUGUUCUAACGUGGACCCGUGAUCCGGGUUGCGGACAGUGUCUGGUGGGUAGUUUGACUGGGGCGGUCUCCUCCUAAAGAGUAACGGAGGAGCACGAAGGUUGGCUAAUCCUGGUCGGACAUCAGGAGGUUAGUGCAAUGGCAUAAGCCAGCUUGACUGCGAGCGUGACGGCGCGAGCAGGUGCGAAAGCAGGUCAUAGUGAUCCGGUGGUUCUGAAUGGAAGGGCCAUCGCUCAACGGAUAAAAGGUACUCCGGGGAUAACAGGCUGAUACCGCCCAAGAGUUCAUAUCGACGGCGGUGUUUGGCACCUCGAUGUCGGCUCAUCACAUCCUGGGGCUGAAGUAGGUCCCAAGGGUAUGGCUGUUCGCCAUUUAAAGUGGUACGCGAGCUGGGUUUAGAACGUCGUGAGACAGUUCGGUCCCUAUCUGCCGUGGGCGCUGGAGAACUGAGGGGGGCUGCUCCUAGUACGAGAGGACCGGAGUGGACGCAUCACUGGUGUUCGGGUUGUCAUGCCAAUGGCACUGCCCGGUAGCUAAAUGCGGAAGAGAUAAGUGCUGAAAGCAUCUAAGCACGAAACUUGCCCCGAGAUGAGUUCU